rnacentral:rRNA from 1 species
CAGUCGUACCGACGAGAAAUCAACUUAUCGUGUGCGAACUUGUGGGCGUGCGUGAGUUUCGGCCUCGCUGUUUGCAUGUUUGUGCGCUUUGGGUGUACUUUUUCGUAUGGUAGGCCAACGUCAGUUUCGAUUAUCAUAAAAUGACCGGCGGAAUGUAGCUUCGAUUUCGGUUGAAGUGUUAUAGCCUCUGGUAGAUGUGGUGAUUGGGACUGAGGAUUGCAACGGAUACCCUUCGGGGCUACUCGUCUGAUCUCUGAAGGUUGCUCCGGUGCCGAAAGCGUGCUUACGGUCAUCUAAGAUAACGUUCAACAGGUUAGAACGUGAUUACAUUCGUUAAGGACGUUGGCGUAAUGGCUUUAAACGA